rnacentral:misc_RNA from 1 species
AGCAGCCGCGGUAAUUCCAGCUCCAAUAGCGUAUAUUAAAGUUGUUGCAGUUAAAAAGCUCGUAGUUGAAUUUCGGGAUCAAUUAGUCGGUCGUGCCUCUGGUACGUACUGGUUUUAUUGGUUCCUCCCUUCUGACGAAACAUGAUGUCAUUAAUUUGGUGUUAUGGGGAGUUAGGACUGUUACUUUAGAAAAAAUUAGAGUGUUUAAAGCAGGCUUUAGCUUGAAUACAUUAGCAUGGAAUAAUGAAAUAGGACGUUCGAACCUAUUUUGUUGGUUUCUAGGAUCAACGUAAUGAUUAAUAGGGAUAGUUGGGGGCAUUAGUAUUCAAUUGUCAGAGGUGAAAUUCUUGGAUUUAUUGAAGACUAACUACUGCGAAAGCAUUUGCCAAGGAUGUUUUCAUUAAUCUAAGAACGAAAGUUAGGGGAUCGAAGACGAUCAGAUACCGUCGUAGUCUUAACCAUAAACUAUGCCGACUAGGGAUCGGAUGAUAGUUAAUUUUUAAUGUACUCUAUUCGGCGU